rnacentral:rRNA from 1 species
GACGAACGCUGGCGGCGUGCCUAAUACAUGCAAGUUGAGCGCUGAAGGUUGGUACUUGUACCAACUGGAUGAGCAGCGAACGGGUGAGUAACGCGUGGGGAAUCUGCCUUUGAGCGGGGGACAACAUUUGGAAACGAAUGCUAAUACCGCAUAAAAACUUUAAACACAAGUUUUAAGUUUGAAAGAUGCCAUUGCAUCACUCAAAGAUGAUCCCGCGUUGUAUUAGCUAGUUGGUGAGGUAAAGGCUCACCAAGGCGAUGAUACAUAGCAGACCUGAGAGGGUGAGCGGCCACAUUGGGACGGAGACACGGCCCAAACUCCUACGGGAGGCAGCAGUAGGGAAUCUUCGGCAAUGGACGAAAGUCUGACCGAGCAACGCCGCGUGAGUGAAGAAGGUUUUCGGAUCGUAAAACUCUGUUGGUAGAGAAGAACGUUGGUGAGAGUGGAAAGCUCAGCAAGUGACGGUAACUACCCAGAAAGGGACGGCUAACUACGUG